GCUAAUUUGGCAGAUUGAAUGCGUUAAAUUUAGGAUUUAUAUAGACUUAACAAGUAAUUAGUA
rnacentral:tRNA from 1 species